GGCAGAGCUGCAGAGUCAGCCACACAGAUCUUUAUUAAGAGCCAGCAGUCAACUUAACCACACGACACUGUCCAUAUUGUCAAAGAACUAUCAAGCUUUACCUUUGUUUCCUUUCUAGGCCUUUGGUCAAAUUUAUUUCUUCUUUCUCUAAGAAUCACAUCAUAAGAAGAGAGAAGAUCCAAAUAAACUCAAUUAGAAAUGAAACUGGAGAUAUUACAACCAAUACCACAGAAAUAUAAAAGAUCAUAGGCUACUAUGAACACCUUUAUAUGUGCAGACUAGAAAAUCUAGAGGAAAUGGAAAUUUUCCUUGAAAAAUACACCCUCCUAGAUUAAAUCAGAAAUAAAAAGAAGCCCUGAACAGACUAAUAACAAGCAGCAUGACUGAAUCGGUAAUUUAA
rnacentral:lncRNA from 1 species